GUCUCAUAGGAAAUUGACAUUUUGAGGAUAUUUUCUGACGAGCGAUCGUUACAGAAACUUGUCUCUGCAGUUGAAGGUUUGUUCAGUUGCUCAAGAAUUUACCGUAGCGUCACUAACGUGUCUGGCUCUACCUGCUACAUCCGCCAGUUACUCGGUCAAGGCAUUCCUAUCAUCUGGGCGCCAUUGCUCUGCUAUUUGGAAGUCUAAUGAGUUCGCACUUCCAAAGGAGUUGUACCGUAUGUGUCUUUUGGAUGCGAUUGUGUACGCUUAUCUGAAACAACAAUUGAUCAAGACUACACGACCCUUGUGUAUAAAUUUUCAAAUCGAAUCAAUGUUCUUUUUUGAUCCCACUGACUAUCGUAAGAUCAUGUACACCUUGUCCCCAUCCAUCAUUACAGUUUGCCCCCUGUCUACUCUACGUCAAACACAGCUGUGAGAGCCAUCGUAAUUGUUACUAAAAAUCAAAGAUAUAAUGGAUCCGUUAUGCCUAACGGCACUUGAGCCUUGAAAUAAAGACAAUUUAAAUAAUAAAUAAGCAAAUAGAAAUUAUAAUUUUUACAAAAUAUACUGCUCUGACAUUCAUUCGAAUCGUUUCCUGAUUUCAUUUGGCUGACGUCAACUGAAAAAAUUGCAUCAAUUUUCGUUCGAAAUCCCAUUCGUACGUAAACAAGCAUACGAGUGUAUAGCUACGCAGAGCAGUGAACGUUUUGUUCAACAA